rnacentral:lncRNA from 1 species
CCCUUCCUUAGCUAACAGGUCUGCAACUUAAUUAAUUUUGUUCCCUAAAGCCAUGCACCGAUGCUUGCAUCAGCUAGACUGCCUAGCUCAUACCCCUUGAAGUACGACCUUUAUCUGGACCCUGCUUGAACACUAAAUGCUUUAUUCACGGAGUUGUCAUUUAUUUUUGUUUCCUUAAAGCUAUGCCGGAUGCGCACCUCUCAACUGGUGCAAAAAUGACCUGUAAUCAGAGAUAAUAUUAGUAGUUAUCAUCUUUUAUGAAUGGGCUUGC